GACGAACGCUGGCGGCGUGCUUAACACAUGCAAGUCGAACGGAAAGGCCCUGCUUUUGUGGGGUGCUCGAGUGGCGAACGGGUGAGUAACACGUGAGUAACCUGCCCUUGACUUUGGGAUAACUUCAGGAAACUGGGGCUAAUACCGGAUAGGAGCUCCUGCUGCAUGGUGGGGGUUGGAAAGUUUCGGCGGUUGGGGAUGGACUCGCGGCUUAUCAGCUUGUUGGUGGGGUAGUGGCUUACCAAGGCUUUGACGGGUAGCCGGCCUGAGAGGGUGACCGGCCACAUUGGUACUGAGAGACGGCCCAGACUCCUACGGGAGGCAGCAGUGGGGAAUAUUGCACAAUGGGCGGAAGCCUGAUGCAGCAACGCCGCGUGCGGGAUGACGGCCUUCGGGUUGUAAACCGCUUUCGCCUGUGACGAAGCGUGAGUGACGGUAAUGGGUAAAGAAGCACCGGCUAACUACGUG
rnacentral:rRNA from 1 species